AAUGAACGCUGGCGGCGUGCUUAACACAUGCAAGUCGAACGGAAAGGCCUGCUUUCCCUUGUGGAUUGCGGGUACUCGAGUGGCGAACGGGUGAGUAACACGUGAGUGAUCUGCCCCCAACUUGGGUAUAAGCCUGGGAAACUGGGUCUAAUUCCCGAUAGGACUGCAGGGUGGUGCCUGUGGUGGAAAACGAUUUUCUAGUGGUUGGGGAUGAGCUCGCGGCCUAUCAGCUUGUUGGUGGGGUAAUGGCCUACCAAGGCGGCGACGGGUAGCCGGCCUGAGAGGGUGGACGGCCACAUUGGGACUGAGAUACGGCCCAGACUCCUACGGGAGGCAGCAGUGGGGAAUAUUGCACAAUGGGCGGAAGCCUGAUGCAGCGACGCCGCGUGGGGGAUGACGGCCUUCGGGUUGUAAACUCCUUUCGACCGCGAGGAAGCCACCUGGUUGGAAGGGUGGUGACGGUAGUGGUAGAAGAAGCACCGGCUAACUACGUG
rnacentral:rRNA from 1 species